AAUGGGUGAGAGCCUGAUCCAGCCAUCCCGCGUGCAGGAAGACGGCCUUAUGGGUUGUAAACUGCUUUUAUACUAGAAUAAACCACCUUACGAGUAGGGUGUUGAAGGUACAGUAUGAAUAAGCACCGGCUAACUCCGUGCCAGCAGCCGCGGUAAUACGGAGGGUGCAAGCGUUAUCCGGAUUUAUUGGGUUUAAAGGGUCCGCAGGCGGACUUAUAAGUCAGGGGUGAAAUCCGGCAGCUUAACUGUCGAACUGCCUUUGAAACUGUAGGUCUUGAGUAAGAAUGAAGCAGCUGGAAUGUGUGGUGUAGCGGUGAAAUGCAUAGAUAUCACACAGAACACCGAUAGCGAAGGCAGGUUGCUAAUUCUCAACUGACGCUGAGGGACGAAAGCGUGGGGAGCGAA
rnacentral:rRNA from 1 species